rnacentral:rRNA from 1 species
UUAAGCUACUAAGAGCACAGGGUGAAUGCCUUGGCACCAAGAGCCGAUGAAGGACGUGAUAAGCUGCGAAAAGCUGUGAGGAGGAGCAAAUAUCCAUUAUAUUCACAGAUAUCCGAAUGAGGAAACUCUAGUUAGGAAAAAAGCUAACUAAUCCAUACAUGAGUAAAGUAGUGUAUGUGAGGGGAACGUAGGGAACUGAAACAUCUAAGUACCUACAGGAAAAGAAAGAAAACUCGAUUCCUUGAGUAGUGGCGAGCGAAAGAGGAAGAGCCUAAACCAAGAGAAGUAAUUUUCUUGGGGUUAUGGACUACAUAAAUGAUUCAAUAGAUUUAGCAGAACUGUUUGGAAAAGCAGACCAAAGAUAGUGAAAGUCUAGUAAGCGAAAAAUCGAAAGACAUGGUAGUAUCCGGAGUAGUGCGAGACACGGGAAAUCUCGUAUGAAAAAGUGGGGACCACCCCAUAAGGCUAAAUACUACUUGGUGACCGAUAGUGGAACAGUACCGUGAGGGAAAGGUGAAAAGAACCCCGGGAGGGGAGUGAAAGAGAACCUGAAACCCUGUGUUUACAAGCAGACAAAGCACGUUAAGGUGCGAUGUCGUACUUUUUGUAGAACGGUCCGGCGAGUUAUUUUAUAUGGCAAGGUUAAGUACUAUUAAGGUACGAAGCCGAAGCGAGAGCGAGUCUGAAAAGGGCGAGUAAGUCAUAUGAAAUAGACCCGAAACCGAGUGACCUAUCCAUGGUCAGGAUGAAGCUUGAGUAAAAUCAAGUGGAGGUCCGAACCCAUAAGCGUUAAAAAGCUUCGGGAUGAACUGUGGAUAGCGGAGAAAUUCCAAUCGAACUCGGAGAUAGCUGGUUCUCCUCGAAAUAGUUUUAGGACUAGCCUUGUUUAGUAGUAUGUGGGGGUAGAGCACUGAAUGAGCUAGGGGCCAAACCAGGUUACUGAACUCUAUCAAACUCCGAAUACCAUGUACGUAAGAACAGGAGUCAGACUGCGGGAGCUAAGUUCCGUGGUCAAAAGGGAAAGAGCCCAGAUCGUCAAUUAAGGUCCCAAAGAUAUAGUUAAGUGGAAAACGAUGUGAUUUUGCGUAAACAACCAGGAUGUUGGCUUAGAAGCAGCCAUUCAUUUAAAGAGUGCGUAAUAGCUCACUGGUCGAGUGGAGUUGCGCGGAAAAUUACCGGGGCUAAACUAUACACCGAAAUUGCGGAUUCAUGAGUAAUCAUGAGUGGUAGAGGAGCAUUCUAUAGUAGGACGAAGGUAGAUCGAAAGGACUGCUGGACGAGAUAGAAGAGAGAAUGCCGGAAUAAGUAGCGAAAGCAUGGUGAGAAUCCAUGCCAUCGAAAGUCUAAGGUUUCCUGGGGAAGGUUCGUCCGCCCAGGGUAAGUCGGGACCUAAGGAGAGGCCGAAAGGCGUAUCUGAUGGACAGCAGGUAGAGAUUCCUGCACCACCGAUAUACUUAAAAAAUGCAAGGGACACAGUAGUGGAAGGAAAGCGAGGAAGAGGAAAGACUCGUAUCGAAAGAUAUAGUGAAAAAAUAAGUAACGAAUUUCCAAGAAGCACACUGGCGAGAAAAGCUUGUAGGAAUUGUAUAAAGGUGCCCGUACCGCAAACCGACACAGGUAGAUGAGGAGAGGAUCCUAAGAUGAGCGAGAGAAGCAUUGUUAAGGAACUCGGCAAAUUGACCCCGUAACUUAGGGAGAAGGGGUGCCAAAGUAAAAUUUGGUCGCAGAGAAGAGGCCCAAGCAACUGUUUAACAAAAACACAGGUUUCUGCUAAAUCGAAAGAUGAAGUAUAGGAGCUGACGCCUGCCCAGUGCUGGAAGGUUAAGGGGAAGAGUUAGAUGUAAGUCGAAGCUUAGAACCAAAGCCCCAGUGAACGGCGGCCGUAACUAUAACGGUCCUAAGGUAGCGAAAUUCCUUGUCAGGUAAGUUCUGACCCGC